rnacentral:rRNA from 1 species
CCUACGGGUGGCAGCAGUGAGGAAUAUUGGUCAAUGGACGAGAGUCUGAACCAGCCAAAUAGCGUGAAGGAUGACUGCCCUAUGGGUUGUAGACUUCUUUUAUAUGGGAAUAAAAUGUUCCACGUGUGGGAUUUUGUAUGUACCAUAGGAAUAAGGAUCGGCUAACUCCGUGCAAGCAACCGCGGUAAUACGGAGGAUCCGAGCUUUAUCAGGAUUUAUUGGGUUUAAAGGGAGCGUAGGUGGAUUGUAAAGUCAGUGGUGAAAGUUUGAGGCGCAACCGUAAAAUUGCAGUUGAAACUGGCAGUCUUGAGUACAGUAGAGGUGGGCGGAAUUCGUGGUGUAGCGGUGAAAUGCUUAGAGAUCACGAAGAACUCCGAUUGCGAAGGCAGCUCACUGGACUGCAACUGACACUGAGGCUCGAAAGUGUGGGUAUCAAACAGGAUUAGAUACCCGGGUAGUC